GGGCUUGUAGUGUAAUGGUAUCACCCGGCCUUCGCAAGGCCGCAACGGGGGUCCGAUUCCCCCCGAGUCCA
rnacentral:tRNA from 1 species